UACGAAGGGGGCUAGCGUUGCUCGGAAUCACUGGGCGUAAAGGGUGCGUAGGCGGGUCUUUAAGUCAGGGGUGAAAUCCUGGAGCUCAACUCCAGAACUGCCUUUGAUACUGAGGAUCUUGAGUUCGGGAGAGGUGAGUGGAACUGCGAGUGUAGAGGUGAAAUUCGUAGAUAUUCGCAAGAACACCAGUGGCGAAGGCGGCUCACUGGCCCGAUACUGACGCUGAUGCACGAAAGCGUGGGGAGCAAGCAGG
rnacentral:rRNA from 1 species